UGAAGGUUUCUAGCACUAUAAUUUUGUAGGUCCUUUGUGGUGGUGAGGGGUGGACACCUCUAAUAGAAAUGGAUAAUGAUAUAUUUAUUUUUAUAACUUAUCCUAUGCAGUUCACAAACCAUCAUUUUUCGAUUGAAAUACCUGAGAAGUUUUCAAAUUAUCAUUUUCCAUUUGAAAUAGAAGUGGUAGCACUUUGGUCUAAUAGUAAGUAUUCCAACACCUUAAUGCCUCCGCUAGAGUUACAAACUAGCGCUACCUAG
rnacentral:lncRNA from 1 species